UACGUAGGGGGGCUAGCGUUGUCCGGAAUCAUUGGGCGUAAAGCGCGUGUAGGCGGCCCGGUAAGUCCGCUGUGAAAGUCGGGGGGCUCAACCCUCGAAAGCCGGUGGAUACUGUCGGGCUAGAGUACGGAAGAGGCGAGUGGAAUUCCUGGUGUAGCGGGUGAAAAUGCGCAGAUAUCAAGGAGGAACACCAAUGGCGAAGGCAGCACUCUGGGAACGUGACUGACGGCUGAGACGCGAAAAGCGUGGGGGAGCAAACAGG
rnacentral:rRNA from 1 species